GGCCUUCUUUCAGGAAGCAGAGCAACGUGAGCGCAUGGUGUGAGCAAAGGGCAAUGGAUACAGGGACAUUCUAUGGGUGAAAGGAGCCAAAUCGGGCAGUUACCCUCUGAUAGGACAGUGAACUUGAGGACAGUGACAGCUAGGAAGAAUGGACCCAAUAAUCAGGGACUUUAGCAGUCCGAGCCGAGCAGGCCUUUCUGAGGGGUGAACUCGAGGAACUCUCUCUGCCCAAACUCUCAGAGUAAUUCAACCAUCUGGAUGGGGUCACUGUUUGUCACGGAGCGCACAGUAUGAGACAGUACCGCGUGCACAGCAUCACAGCAAGGAGAGGCUCUGAGAUUACAGUAAUGCUGUGUUCAUGACAGCCACUUCCUUCAAGCCAAAAAACACAUUAAUACAUAUUUGAAG